rnacentral:lncRNA from 1 species
UAAAUCAUUCGAGAGACAUCAGUAUAUAAAAUCGAGUCGAGUUAGCGCGACUUCAAUCAAAUCCUAACCCAUUUACUCAACAAUAUUGUCAAUUAAUUUUCAAUCCACUGUUACAAUGAUACUUGCGGAAGAUAUUUGGACCGGCAAGUGGUUUUGGUUUUACAUAAUUUCUGGCAUUGCCAAUCUGAUUUUUCAAAUUGGCUUAUUUAUUAAAAAUAAUAUGAUGGAACCAGAUGCGCCGCAAAAUUCCUCGUUACCUAUUGAUAACGCUACCGUAAGUCAGGAUCUAUUGAAGGAGCUUUGACAGAAGACGAGCUUCGAUAGACUUCACGACGAAAUGCGUCGAACGAAAAUAUACCCUCUUGUAAAAAGAUCUUCCUUGGGAUAACGAGUCUUAUGGGGAUAGAUUCGCCGCCAAAUCCCACGACACCGCCACCUGCAUUUACCUCGACUAUGUAUCCGGAACCAUACGACGACGACGACGACGGCGAAGACGAUGACAACGACGACAACGACAAAAAUGACGCCAAGCUCUGACAGACUUCACGACGAAAUACGUCGAACGAAAAGUUACAACGAAGGUGUGCCGUUGUAGCAUUUUAAUUAAUCACCAAGAAAGCGAGAGAAUAUAAUUUUUAUUUGUACUUUUUUUGUUCAAACAUCAUGUCACUGAUGUUUGUUUGACGUUUUUAACUGUAAAUAAAAUAUAUCAUAUUGAGUGCGAAUGAUAGUGCUACAUCACUGUAACAAUGAAUAGUUUUUGUAACAUUUCAAAUAUUCAAUACAGAAUUUUAUUUCUUUGUUAAAAGCUUUACACUUGCAUUUUUGUGUUUAGCAUUAGUUUUUUUCGAAUAAAAAUAGUUAAAAAAUAAAGUCAUAAAUACAAAUGCACA